GGGUCUUGAGCAGUUGAAAGACAGAAUAGUCAGGUCAGGCGCUAUAUUUCUCGCUCUUUGAUCAACUAUUAUUCUGGAGUUUUUGUAAGAUUUUCAAAUAAAAUUUAGAGUUUCCUUGUAUGACCCUUUUAAAUCUCUUAUUUGUGGUAUUUGUGGAUCCUUACCAAGGCAUGAAUGAUUGCCUUCUCUCUUCUCUCAGAAUAUGUGGUAUUUGUGGAAAUAAGGCAUAGUAGCAUUAUGCCCUCUCUCUCUCACCCUACACCUAAUAGGCUUAUGUGGAGCUCAUAGGUGGGGAGACAGCUCAAACAUACUUGCAAACAUAUGUUGUAUAGUUAAACCGUGGAUCCAAAGAAACUAGUCAUACAAUCAUAUCAUACGUGCAUGUGAAUAAGAGGAGUGAAGCGAGUAAUAUAAAUGGUGAUGAUGAUCUAAUUCUACAUUUGCUCCUUGGUGAUAACUUACCUCCCAUAUUUGGAAUUGAAGACCUUGGAGGAACUUGGUUUGCUCUCUUACUUUUCUUUCUUGGGACAUUUGUCCUCUUUCUUUUUUUUCUUUCUCUCAUUUUUUUCUGAGAGCAACCAAGCCUCUUAGUAGAACUAUAUUGUUGGUACAAAAGCGGAUCUGCAAACACAAAGGGCUAAUACCCGAUUCAAACGUUAAGGCGUGCCAGCUGAUUUGACCUUACUAUCGGCAAAGGUGAUAACUCGAAUACUUUGGUCCCGACAACAGCGAUGCGCCCGGAUGUCACGGCCAAGAGGUAUUCACGCGGAACUUGAGAAUAUGCCGAACUUAAGUCGACGAACUCCUAAGAACUCGUAGUAAAAGGAAAAUAUGACGAAGUCAUCGAAGAAGUAGAUGCUGGAAUAUGAGUAAAAACUUGUGUUUGAUUGAUUGAUAGAUGUCUCCUUACAAGGCCCUAGGGUCUACAUUUAUACCCUGCUCAAAGAGCUACAAUCAGACACGACUAGGACUCG
rnacentral:lncRNA from 1 species